rnacentral:rRNA from 1 species
GAUGAACGCUGGCGGCGUGCCUAAUACAUGCAAGUCGAGCGAAUGGAUUAAGAGCUUGCUCUUAUGAAGUUAGCGGCGGACGGGUGAGUAACACGUGGGUAACCUGCCCAUAAGACUGGGAUAACUCCGGGAAACCGGGGCUAAUACCGGAUAACAUUUUGAACCGCAUGGUUCGAAAUUGAAAGGCGGCUUCGGCUGUCACUUACGGAUGGACCCGCGUCGCAUUAGCUAGUUGGUGAGGUAACGGCUCACCAAGGCAACGAUGCGUAGCCGACCUGAGAGGGUGAUAGGCCACACUGGGACUGAGACACGGCCCAGACUCCUACGGGAGGAAGCAGUAGGGAAUCUUCCGCAAUGGACGAAAGCCUGACGGAGCAACGCCGCGUGAGUGAUGAAGGCUUUCGGGUCGUAAAACUCUGUUGUUAGGGAAGAACAAGUGCUAGUUGAAUAAGCUGGCACCUUGACGGUACCUAACCAGAAAGCCACGGCUAACUACGUGCCAGCCGCCGCGGUAA